GGUGGCUCAGUGGUAGAGCACUUGCCUAGCAUGCAUGAGACCCUGGGUUCAAUUCCUCAGCACCA
rnacentral:tRNA from 1 species